GACUCACUCAACCUGGGUGUGAUGCUUGCCUAUGUAUCAGGCCCUAGUGGUCAUCACAACCUUUUUGAGUGAGCGA
rnacentral:pre_miRNA from 2 species